rnacentral:rRNA from 1 species
UACGGAGGGUGCGAGCGUUGUCCGGAAUCACUGGGCGUAAAGAGCGCGUAGGCGGUCCAGUAAGUCCGCUCUGAAAGUCCGGGGGCUCAACCCCGGGAGGCGGGCGGGAUACUGCUGGGCUAGAGUCCGGAAGAGGCGAGUGGAAUUCCUGGUGUAGCGGUGAGAUGCGCAGAUAUCAGGAGGAACACCAAUUGCGAAGGCAGCUCGCUGGGACGUUACUGACGCUGAGACGCGAAAGCGUGGGGAGCAAACAGG